rnacentral:tRNA from 1 species
CAAAUUAGAGCUUGAAUAAGUUUUUCAUUUACAUUGAAAUAAUAUUGUAUAAUUACAAUUAAUUUGU